AUUGAACGCUGGCGGCAUGCCUUACACAUGCAAGUCGAACGGCAGCAUGGGUGCUUGCACCUGAUGGCGAGUGGCGAACGGGUGAGUAAUGUAUCGGAACAUAUCCGCAAGUGGGGGAUAACGUAGCGAAAGUUACGCUAAUACCGCAUAUUCCCUGAGGGGGAAAGGAGGGGAUCCGCAAGGACCUUUCGCUUACGGAGUGGCCGAUAUCAGAUUAGCUAGUUGGUGAGGUAAAGGCUCACCAAGGCGACGAUCUGUAGCGGGUCUGAGAGGAUGAUCCGCCACACUAGGACUGAGACACGGCCCAGACUCCUACGGGAGGCAGCAGUGGGGAAUUUUGGACAAUGGGGGCAACCCUGAUCCAGCCAUGCCGCGUGAGUGAAGAAGGCCUUCGGGUUGUAAAGCUCUUUCAGCCGGAAAAAAAUCGCAUCACCUAAUACGUGGUGUGGAUGAUGGUACCGGAAGAAGAAGCACCGGCUAACUACGUGCCAGCCGCCGCCGUAA
rnacentral:rRNA from 1 species